UACGGAGGGGGCUAGCGUUGUUCGGAAUUACUGGGCGUAAAGCGCACGUAGGCGGCUUUGUAAGUUAGAGGUGAAAGCCCAGGGCUCAACCCUGGAACUGCCUUUAAGACUGCAUCGCUUGAACACGGGAGAGGUGAGUGGAAUUCCGAGUGUAGAGGUGAAAUUCGUAGAUAUUCGGAAGAACACCAGUGGCGAAGGCGACUCACUGGACCGUUGUUGACGCUGAGGUGCGAAAGCGUGGGGAGCAAAC
rnacentral:rRNA from 1 species